AGCCCUGAUGGCCCGGCAUGGGUUACCGCUGCUGCCCCUGCUGUCGCUCCUGGUCGGCGCGUGGCUCAAGCUAGGAAAUGGACAGGCUACUAGCAUGGUCCAACUGCAGGGUGGGAGAUUCCUGAUGGGAACAAAUUCUCCAGACAGCAGAGAUGGUGAAGGGCCUGUGCGGGAGGCGACAGUGAAACCCUUUGCCAUCGACAUAUUUCCUGUCACCAACAAAGAUUUCAGGGAUUUUGUCAGGGAGAAAAAGUAUCGGACAGAAGCUGAGAUAUUUGGAUGGAGCUUUGUCUUUGAGGACUUUGUCUCUGAUGAGCUGAGAAACAAAGCCACCCAGCCAAUGAAGUCUGUACUCUGGUGGCUUCCAGUGGAAAGGGCAUUUUGGAGGCAGGUAAGGGCUGAUUCCACUACCUCAUUUUCUACCCCUGCUUGACUCUUAUUCUCCAGGCCCAGCCUCCUCUCUACCCCUCGUACAUCCAGGAACACUGAGUUUCAAAGGAGGAUAGGGGAAUAUCAGGGAAAGCGCUCAGCAGGCCUGUUUCACCUGCCCGAAUCCUGUUUCCUGUUACC
rnacentral:sRNA from 1 species